rnacentral:rRNA from 1 species
UACAGAGGUCUCAAGCGUUUGUUCGGAUUCAUUGGGCGUAAAGGGAGCGUAGGUGGCGGGGUUAGUCAGGUGUGAAAUCUCGGGGCUCAACCCCGAAACUGCACUUGAUACUGCCUUGCUAGAGUACUGGAGAGGAGAUUGGAAUUUACGGUGUAGCAGUGAAAUGCGUAGAUAUCGUAAGGAAGGCCGGUGGCGAAAGCGAGCCUCUGGACAGUUCCUGACGCUGAGGCACGAAGGUCAGGGGAGCAAACGGG